rnacentral:piRNA from 1 species
CUUAAAGGAAGAAUUCUCCCGAGC